GUGACCCCCACCCCCAGCAGGAAGCUGGGCCUGGUUUCUGUCCCUCUGCAGCCACAAGGCCUGGCCAGGACGCUGGGAGCACCACGCCCUGGAGACUCAGCUCACCAAGGACUCAGGGGCAGGGGCUCCCCUGGCACCUGGGAAGCUGGGCCUCCCGGACCCCUGAACUCCCACCCAGACACCAUCUCAACCCAGGUCUGUCUGCAUCUCCCUGUCACUGCCCUGGGUUCUCCACUCCUGGACCCGACCCUGGUCCUGGGGCAGUGUCCCAGCUGCUGUGUCUCAGGCCCCGCAUCCACUGCCCUUGGCCCACCUUCUAUGUGGCCCAUUAGAGGGGUGUGGGGGCUGCAACCUGCUUCUGUUGAACCCCCAGGCCUGCUAGGGGGCAUCAGGAUUCUGCACAGAGAGGCAGGGGACCCGGCCAGACAUGCGGGUCUCCAGGUACCUAAUUCAGGGCCUUGGGCCGAGGACAGUAUAUUUAUCCUGGCCCAGGGGAGUCUGGGGGUGUCUGAGGGUCGGUGAGACGUCUGGGCAGAUUGUCCCUGCCCUGCUGUGCUCUGCCCCACCCUGGCCGGCCCUCCUGGCUUCUCAAGGUGCUCCCGGCCACAAUGGCACAGUCCCCCAGGCCCAAAAUGUGCCCCCAUGCUGCCCGAGGGCCGGUGCGGGGGCUGGUAGCACCCAAGGCCACACCCUCCCCUCCUUUUCCUGGGGCACCUGCCCCCACGCUGUGGCCACGGCUCCCUGGCCCCAACAGCUUCUUGUGACCCCUGAGGCUCCCCAGCCCCUGGCCCCCCAUGGGGAGUUCCCUCCCCAUAAGGGGGGGCAGACACUCCCCUGUGCCCACUCCUUGGGAGACUGGCACUAGAUCCUGGCUGUGGGACAGGGUGGGCCACUCUGGGGGGUGAGACCAGGCUUCUCCCACCUGGGGGACCCAUCCCAGCUCCGGCCCUGGGUGGGUGACAGCCUGGCUUUCCUGUGUCCUCACCGCCCACUCAUCAGCAAGAUGGGGAUGUGGAUGACAGGCGUGCUGGCCACGGAGGGCCUGGUAUGGGCAGCUGUCGGGACAAGGGUAGUGUGGGCGGCCACAGCAGUUGGUGCUACUGCUGGGAAGGGCCGAAGGUGAGGCCCUCCUGGGCUGUGGGUCCCUGUAAACCACUGCCCCCGUGGGGUGUGCAGUCACCGAGCUGACCCGCUGCCAGGGUUCUGCCCCCUCCCUGUCCCUGCUGCUCCCCCAGCACCUGUGUCCCAAGCCUGAAGCCCUGUCCGUGUCAGAGAUGGCACCUCCCUGGGCACAGGCACUUGGAUGCUGGUGCCUCCCCUGCUGCGGACCCCUUUGCUGUGGUCAAGGCCUCCUCCCUGCACUGGCCCCGCCUGUGACCGCAGGCCUGGAGGGGCCCUCGAUGGCCACAGAGGGCACAGGCUGGGGCCAGGAGGGCACCGUCUCCUGGGGCACAGAUAUGCUGGAGUGAGCCAUGGAAUUGUCCAUCAGCAGCGGCAAGCUUUGCUGAGCGCCAGCUGUAUGCAGAGCAAAGGCGGGCCAGCCGGGAAGGGCCAGUGAGGACCCGGGGUCCCCAGCGUCCCCUGGAGCCUGCACCCCUAUGCGGGGGACGCCUGGGCAGCUCCUCCCUCCUCCACUCCCUGCCCUCUCCUCCCAUCCUUCCUGCAGUUCCCACAGCUGUUUGGGGGCCUCCCCUGGUGCCUGGUUGAGCUGCAGGGGGAGAUGUGUGUGGACACUGUAACCCUCCCGAAGCUGGGCCUGGAAGAAAUGACUUCCCCAGAACCUUAUCUGGGCCGGAGAGGGGCAUUGGCAGGGGAGGUCUUGCUACCCUCCCGUCCUCUGCAUGCCAAGCACCACCUGGGGCAGGGCCAGGGCAGGCUGCCUGGACACCGUGGACCUACCCGAGGCCCAGGCCUGUGUGGCUGAGAGGACUGAGGACGGCCGACCCCCUUGGUGACUGCCUGGGCCCAGAGGGUAGUGGGGGGAGAGGUCCGCUGGGUGUGGCCAGUCCUGGGGGAACUGUGUCCACUUAGGGAUAGGGGACAGCUAGCAGAGCCCUCCCAGCUGACCAGGGGAGGCCCUGUGGGCACAGGAGGGGCCCCAGGUGUAGGCACAGGUGCAGGGCUGUGCGGCUCUGUGUCACCCAGGUGGAGCGUCUUGCCCCGUUUGAUGGCUGACAAAGUCCCCUUGAAUGCGUCAGACCCAGCAUGGUCCCAGGGUCCUGACCCUAACAUAUCACCCCAAAUUACCCUCACCCCAGCCUACCCCUGCCCUAAAUUCACCCCAAGCCGCCACCCAAACCCCUUGGCCCCAACACCUUAACCUUAGACCCAGCCCUACACCCCAAGCCCUAAUCCCUAACCGCUAGCCUCACCCUAACCUUCCUACCGGAUGCCACCUGGCAAACAUCCUCCUGGCCCCUGUCCACCCCUCCCCCGGGGAUCCGGGAGGCAGUGGGGUCCCCGGGAGGCUGCUCCCUGCAGAACGCAGUGGAUGGAUGCGUGCGCACCGAGCCCCGGCCCCCUCUGGCUUCCUUCAUCCUCCCCAGGCACUUCCCCCUGGGCCAGAGGGCAGCCUGGCAGCCCUGGACUCCAGGAGGGCCGAGUCUGGGGAGCUGGAGGACGUCACAUUCCACUCUUGAUGAUGCCGCCCCAGUCCUACAAUCUGGACAGCGGACAGGCUGCCCAUUUCCUCCAUCUCCGGUAACGAGAAGCAAAUGCUGAUCCUGGCCUGUCUCCUGGCUCCCGGGUCCCUAGGUUCCUGCUGCCCCUGCUAGUUCCUGGAAGAUGCCAGCAGGAGGGAGGGCGGUGGAGCUGGACUUGCGCCUACAACAGGAUCUGGCCAUAAACGCAGUCAGGGCGAGGCUGCGGGGUGGGCGGCUGAGACUCCUGGUGGACUCUCUCCCCUCCCCCCAGCCCUGGCACGCAGCUGUCGGCUCUUCCCGGGAAGCCACAGCCUUUGUUUGUUCCUUGAAGGAGCUGGUGCGUUGCCUGCGAGCUUCUCUGCAGGCUUGGGGGUCGUGCCUGCUGUCCACCUCCCCGAAACCAGCUCCUUCCAGCAGCAGGCUGCAAGCCUGGAGAGGCCACCGGGGACCAGGCAGGGAAACUGAGGCCCCAAAAAGGCAGGGAACAGGUGCAGGGGGGCCUGUCUGACCUGCGCUGGGACUGGGCCAGGCGAGUCUCCUCCAGGGUCCAGCCCCAUCUUGGACAGAGGAAGUUGAUAGGAAAGGCAGGAGUGGCCUCUUCUAACAAUUUCAGCUCUGAAGGGGCCGAGAGUGGCGAUGCUGACAGCAUUUCCUCCAGCUCCCACCUGCCUGCUCCGGGGAAGUCCCCACCUAGGCAGUGAUAUUCACCUGGUGAUACUAAUAAUUGUCUCAGGUGAUAAAUUGUCUCAGCUGCUCUCCCACAUGGCCCACGGGUCCCUGGAGGUUCCCUGGAUCCUUUCAGGGGAGACCAUGGGCCCUAAACGAUCUUCAUAACAAAACUGAGAAGUGGCCUGGCUUCUUCACUGCGCUCCUAUGGGCUGGGAUCCAGCAUGGCCCGACUGGGCAGCUCCUUUCCUUCCCUGACGCUGCUCCAGGGGAAAGAAGGGCCAGGGUCUAUCCAGGGUGCCCCAGGUGGAUCAGUGAAUGCCCCUGAAGCCACGUGCCAGUUGCGUCCCCGUCAGAUGCCCCCAUCCCAGUCUCCUGAGCCUCAUUAGUCACCCCUCAUGUUCCUCUGGGGACCCCAGGCCCCAGCUCCUGUCUGGUUAGAGGCUGAAGGGGUCUGAGCUACACCUGCCCUAGGGGACCUCGGGAGGGGUCUUGGUGUCCUCCGACUUCUAUCCCCAGAAGGGAGCUUAGAAUGCAGCUGAGGCUUCCCCCGGGGCCCAGGGUGUCUGUGUCCGAGCCACAGCCAGAGUGUGCCCUGGAGAGCCGCUGGGACGCAUGGUGAGCUCUCGUCAUCCUGUCCCCACUCCAGGCUCAGGCUGGAGCCGUGAUGCCACCACUGCACUCCAACCUGGGCAACAGAGUGAGACCCUGUCUCUAUAAAAUAGAAACAAAAAUAAGAGCAUGUGGUUUCUGCGGUUUCCUGGCCAAAAAUGCAUAACCCCAAUCUCAAUCAUAAGAAAACAUCCAACGUCCCCAACAAGGGGAGGUUCUACACACACCUGCCCAGCGCCCCUCAAAAGUGUCAAGGGCGUGAAAGACAUGGAGGGAUGUAGAAGACGGGAGAGCCAGUGUUGCCUGCGGUGUGUUCACAACGGUCACAGGGACGGAUCCUCGCCUGCCUUGCCGGCCCUCCACAGACAGGACAGGGACAGGUCGUCAGCUGUCAUGGAGGCCCUCGCAGUUUUCUGAAUGUGGACUUGCUGUUCCUGCCCAUGGCUUCAUCCACGGACUCGACAGCACCCCACUGUCCAUCAUACCCCCAGCAAUGCUGUUCCCGCAGCAGGACGCAUCCCAUGCUCAGGCAGUGCUCCCAGGAGCAGCGGGUUAAUAGAGCGUAGGACGGCCCCUGAAGACCAGUUACGUGGCCCUCCGAAGACCAGGAGGCCCUCCGAAAGGACAGGCGCAACCCCGCAGAACAGACUGGGUGCUCGCCAUCCGUGUCCGGUGCUGCUUCUCUGUGGCGAUGGUAUCCAGGAAUCAUGGGUGGGAGUCACGGCCACUGUCCCUGUCGCACCAGCCGCCUGCUCACACAGCCACCGUUCACUCCAGCUCGAAGGUCCUGCUUCUUCAGGGAGGAGCGCUCCCACCAGGGUCGAGGCGCUGGCCGUGUGGAGUUCGACGUCGGGAGUGUCCCCAGGGGCCCCUCUUCCCGCUGAAUCCACAGAGAGAAUGUGAGCUCGCUGUCCGGCGGGCGGGGCUGGGCAUCCCGUCCGCCGAGGGGACACCGGAUCGCUGCGGAGAGAGGACUGGAGCCAGAGGCCAGCCCAGACCAGAACUGAGACCAGGCGACCAGCAGAGCCUGCACAAUAAUAAUGCUUCAUUUUGCAAAUGUAUUUUGUUCUUUUAUUGUGUAUAUUUAUCAUGUCCAAUGUGAUGUUUUGAAACGUGUUUACACUGUGGUUAAAUCAAGCGGCAUAACACACACGACUUCACAUACUUCCCA